CGGCCUGUCCUUUAAUGUUUAUAGGGAAUAUCUGUAGAGGAUAGAAUUUUUCUUUAGAUUGGUGACUUGAUCAAGACAACGAUUGAUGGAGAAAUGAGUAAAUCUUGCAAAUCUUAUAUACCUCCGACAUUAUAACCCACGGAACUGCUCCCAUUCCUAUCGAAAAAGAUCCUAUAAAGAUCUGAAUUCAGAAACUAACUGUUAGUUAAAGAAUGUAAGGAGAAGAAAAUACACGAAAAAGAUAGUUUUCAAACUGAUCUGCAUGGAUGAAUUAAAGGAGUUACUUACCAAUAUGCCUGCUACAGCAAAUAUGGGAGCUGCGUCGAGUACCAAUUCAUGAACCUGGUUAACAAAGAGCUCUCUUGUCAUCGUUUAGAUAAAGCUAAACACCAAGAUUAGGGUCAAUGUUCGAGGAUUACCUUCAGAAAGAAUGAAAUGGCAACAAGGACACAGCCAAGUAUCAACCCUGAUGCAGAAGCCUAGAGUAAAUUGGGAAAAAGUUAAAACUUCCGCGUAUGAAUAGGAAUCUGUCUCAUAAAAUUCUCAAGAACUAAAACUGUGCUCUAACUUACCAAAAUUAGAGGCUUUCUUCCCGCUUUAUCCAUCACGGCUGCACCAAGGCCAGUUACGACAACCUGUAGAUCAGAACCAGAUCAAGAUGCUUAUAACUGAGAGAAAUUGAAAUAUUCCAAGAGUUGUCACAGUAUGUAUGUAGAACCUGAAGAAUGGCGUAGGUUAUAGUUCCGAUGUCUGGAGAAAAUCCUGAUGUAGAAAACAAUAUCUUUCUUAAGUGAGUCAGUUUGCACUCUGGAAAAUGAAAAAGAUACAGACAGGUAUAUUGAAAUUGUAUAUAUAUACCUGCUUGCUCAAAUAUAUCACUGACAUAGAAACAGACCCCGUUGAUUCCCCCCAAUUGUUGACAGACCAUCAACCCGACUGCAAUCUGAAACAAAUCAAGCAAUUUGGCUUCAGGGAAAGAACAAUAAAAUUGACUGUACACAUGGUGUAGGGAGAAGUUCUUACAAUGACCGAGCGCAAGUAUCUCGUUUGAAACAAAUCGAGCAAUUUGGAUUGAGGGAGCCGAUCAAGAGUUGCGAUAUACUCCUGCCAAUAUAAACAGAAAAUGCAAAAGAGUACUUUCUUACCAACCAUCUUGGAGACUCGGGAAUGAAAAAGAGACCGAAAAUGAUCACAGCACAGGGAACAAUUCCUGCAAUCAUCGCACAGCAGUUAGUCUUCCUCGAAGAUUUUUUGGCGCAAUCUCAGCUACGAAAACAGAAGAGGGUGAUGACUCACAAUGUACGAAAAUGCUCCACUUCCGUACCCAGUUGCCACUCUUCCGACAUCCAGAGACACAGCCCCCUUCAACAGAAAAUGAUGAAGAACGCGAAUAAGGUCAAAUAUUUACUGAGAAGGUAAAAUCACAGAGAAAUUCCAGCAUAAAAUUAGUACGAACCUUGGAGAAGUAAAUAGCAAGCCAGCCUGCAACACAGAAAACGCAGGACAUUCUCAAUGCCUGCACACAAUUUUACAGUAUUGAUACUGUUAGACAGCGAAUAUCGGUGAACCAAAUUAGGUGAUGUCUAUAUGUGACAUAAUUUUCGAACUCAUACCCCUUUUCG